rnacentral:rRNA from 1 species
CCUACGGUGGGCAGCAGUGGGGAAUAUUGGACAAUGGGCGAAAGCCUGAUCCAGCCAUGCCGCGUGUGUGAAGAAGGCCUUCGGGUUGUAAAGCACUUUCAGUGGGGAAGAAAGCCUUGGGGCUAAUACCCUCGAGGAAGGACAUCACCCACAGAAGAAGCACCGGCUAACUCCGUGCCAGCAGCCGCGGUAAUACGGAGGGUGCGAGCGUUAAUCGGAAUUACUGGGCGUAAAGCGCGCGUAGGCGGUCUGAUAAGCCGGUUGUGAAAGCCCCGGGCUCAACCUGGGAACGGCAUCCGGAACUGUCAGGCUAGAGUGCAGGAGAGGAAGGUAGAAUUCCCGGUGUAGCGGUGAAAUGCGUAGAGAUCGGGAGGAAUACCAGUGGCGAAGGCGGUCUUCUGGACUGACACUGACGCUGAGGUGCGAAAGCGUGGGUAGCAAACAGGAUUAGAUACCCUGGUAGUC